UCAAGAUGCGUCUCUAUCUGCUGUUUGCCUUCGUCCUAAGCUGCUGUCUGCUGCAUCUGUCGGCAGCCGGAGUGAGCCAUGGCCUGGGCCAGGGACUACUGGGUGUGGGCCACCAUCGCAACUCGACGGGUUCCCCGCCACCACGUGGUGCUCCGCCGCCACCACCACCCAGCACCACAGCCUCCUCGGGGUAGCAGAACCUUGGAUACGGAGAUUGGAUCGACCCCUAAUAUGACCCCGUACCUUUGUUGUAUAAGCACAUUAGCUUCAGAAUAAACAGAGCACUGUCACACAGCAAAAAUCAA